AUUGAACGCUGGCGGCAGGCUUAACACAUGCAAGUCGAACGAGUGGCGGACGGGUGAGUAAUGCUUGGGAAUCUCGCUUAUGGAGGGGGAUAACUACGGGACACUGUAGCUAAUACCGCGUACCAUAGGAUGAGCCCAAGUGGGAUUAGGUAGUUGGUGAGGUAAAGGCUCCCCAAGCCGACGAUCUCUAGCUGGUCUGAGAGGAUGACCAGCCACACUGGGACUGAGACACGGCCCAGACUCCUACGGGAGGCAGCAGUGGGGAAGAUUGCGCAAUGGGGGCAACCUGACGCAGCCAUGCCGCGGGAAUGAAGAAGGCCUUCGGGUUGUAAAGUUCUUUCGGUAGCGAGGCGUUAACUACAGAAGAAGCACCGGCUAACUCCGUGCCAGCAGCCGCGGUAAUAC
rnacentral:rRNA from 1 species